ensembl:lncRNA
UGGAGGGGUUGAAGGGAGAGCAGGGGACAGGGGAAGAAAAUAAGAACCAAGAGAGUAUGUAAAGGUGCAUAUCUCCAAUGAUGAAUGUCAUUGUGUUGUACCAAUAAAAGGAUAUACAAAAAAAUAAAAAUAAAAAAAAUGUUAAUUUAAACAUGCACCAUAUUUUUGUAUCAUGCCUUGUACUUAAACUGGGAUUUCUUGAGCUCUGUGAAUAUAAAUAUAUAUAAUGAAUCUUCAAGAGAGACAUUGUAUUCCCCAAGCCAAUUUAACCAGUCUCCAAUUUUUCAGAGCAUCUCAAGGAGAAGAGUUCUCCAAGCAGCUGUUUACAAAUGCCUCACUAGAGGAAUGGCUCUUUCCAGCAAAAGGCAGUAAAGGACAAAGGUUUCUAGGAACUGGGAAUGUCUGGAAUGCCUUGGACAACAUCAAAACCCUAUCAAGGGGGUUCACUACUACCAUAAUCAAUGACCUUUCCAAUGAC